rnacentral:rRNA from 1 species
UGGGGAAUAUUCCGCAAUGGACGAAAGUCUGACGGAGCAACGCCGCGUGAGUGAUGAAGGUUUUCGGACUGUAAAGCUCUGUUGUUUAGGACGAAAGUGCCUGUUGCAAAUAGUUACAGGUAUUGACGGUGCUGAACGAGGAAGCCACGGCUAACUACGUGCCAGCAGCCGCGGUAAUACGUAGGUGGCAAGCGUUGUCCGGAAUUAUUGGGCGUAAAGAGCAUGUAGGCGGGAAUCUAAGUCUGUUGUGAAAAUGCGGGGCUCAACCCCGUAUUGCGAUGGAAACUGGGUUUCUUGAGUGCAGGAGAGGAAAGGGGAAUUCCCAGUGUAGCGGUGAAAUGCGUAGAUAUUGGGAGGAACACCAGUGGCGGAGGCGCCUUUCUGGACUGUGUCUGACGCUGAGUGGCGAAAGCCAGGGUAGCGAACGG